rnacentral:rRNA from 1 species
CUUGAGAGCGGCGUACGGGUGCGGAACACGUGUGCAACCUGCCUUUAUCUGGGGGAUAGCCUUUCGAAAGGAAGAUUAAUACCCCAUAAUAUGUUGGAUGGCAUCAUUCGACAUUGAAAACUCCGGUGGAUAGAGAUGGGCACGCGCAAGAUUAGAUAGUUGGUGAGGUAACGGCUCACCAAGUCUACGAUCUUUAGGGGGGCCUGAGAGGGUGAUCCCCCACACUGGUACUGAGACACGGACCAGACUCCUACGGGAGGCAGCAGUGAGGAAUAUUGGACAAUGGGUGAGAGCCUGAUCCAGCCAUCCCGCGUGAAGGACGACUGCCCUAUGGGUUGUAAACUUCUUUUGUAUAGGGAUAAACCUACCCUCGUGAGGGUAGCUGAAGGUACUAUACGAAUAAGCACCGGCUAACUCCGUGCCAGCAGCCGCGGUAAUACGGAGGGUGCAAGCGUUAUCCGGAUUUAUUGGGUUUAAAGGGUCCGUAGGCGGAUCUGUAAGUCAGUGGUGAAAUCUCACAGCUUAACUGUGAAACUGCCAUUGAUACUGCAGGCCUUGAGUGUUGUUGAAGUAGCUGGAAUAAGUAGUGUAGCGGUGAAA